GCGUCAUCGGGGCGCGCGCCUCAGAGAGAGCUGUGGUUGCCGGAAGUUGAGCGGCGCAGCUUUCUUGGGAGGCAACCGCCACUGCACAUUUCCUGUGGGGAUUUGAUCUUAAAAAACAAAAGAUUUAGAUCCAUGUGGACAGAAACUUUUGGCAAGAAAUAAUGGCGGCAGCUACGGGGGAUCCUGGACUCUCUAAACUGCAGUUUGCCCCCUUUAGUAGUGCCUUGGAUGUUGGGUUUUGGCAUGAGUUGACCCAGAAGAAGCUGAACGAGUAUCGGCUGGAUGAAGCUCCCAAGGACAUUAAGGGUUAUUACUACAAUGGUGACUCUGCUGGGCUGCCAGCUCGCUUAACAUUGGAGUUCAGUGCUUUUGACAUCGUUCCCUGUGGGCAUGUGAAGCUGUGUGCGAAGUAGAUUCCUCCAGGUAUGAUGAGCACAGGUGCUCUUCCAGAGGAUUUAUUCCGUUCUGACCACCUGCCUGCCUGUUGGCCAAGUGUAAAUAACUGGUGCAACACAGCCCCAGCACUUUCCUGAGUCAUCA
rnacentral:sRNA from 1 species